CCCCUGGCGCCGGCGCUGGGAAUCCCCGUGCGGUCAGUGGCGUUUCCGCUCGGGCAGCGGGCUGAGUGAGCUGCCGCCGCCGCCGCCGCCGCCGCCGCUGGGGGAGGGGCGGCCGCCGCCCGCCUGCGCUCAGAGACUCACGCAGCCCCAGUCCCGCCAGUCCGCCAACACAGUAGUGCCGGCCCCCCUCCCUCCCUGGCCCUUCCCCCUCCCCGCCUUUGGCUCGCUCCGCCUUUUUGCCCCCCACCCCCACCUCACGGGUACGGGCCAUUCCCGGCCAGGAAACGCCGUGGCGCCGCGUUGGGCCUAACUCGAGUCUUGCUGCCUCCCGGGAGUGCCGUGCGCCGCAGCCCGGGCCCAGGCCCCGGCAGCGCCUGGGACAAGCUCUGAACUCCUAGAUCUUUUACCUGCAUUCACUUGCUUCAGAUUAUAUGAAAAUAUAUUCACUUAUGUUUCAUCGGAGACUGCAAUUGAGGAAGAGAUUUGGCAUUCUCAUGGUUUAUGGAGAGAGCUGAUCAGAAAUUGCUCCUUGGCUGAGUUGCUGUCUGCAUAGGCUGUUAACAAUUGUUUCUCUGGCAGCAGAUCUUGUUCAUCAGGAUUGCAUCAUUUCUGGGAUAAUGGCCAAGGUCCACAGCCUCAGUACAAAGACUGUCUGAAGCAUAUGAGGCCUGUUCUUUUUCUGAAGCGGCACUCCUCUUCCUGCCAGUCCUCUUCACAGGAUUACUGAAGCAGACUUGUUCUGAAUUUCUUUCAUUGGAUUGGCUGUUUAUUGGACUCUUGUCUCCCAGCUGCUUCCGGCUCACCUGUCUGAUGCAAUUUUUCUUCUGAAAUCUCUAUUGGAAUUGUUGUUAAAACACUUUUGUUUGUCUUCUGUUAAGGUGACCAGAUAGAUUGUAUUGGUCUUGGGCUUUCAGCAAAUCUUAUAGAAAAGAGACUACCAUGAUAAUAAGGAAAUUAUUGGUCAUUUCUGAACCCAAUUAAAAAGACAGGGUAAUUAUCAACCACUUCUGGCAUGUUCUAUUUAACAUUCUCUUCCCUAGAAGCGGCAUGUAGAUGGUAACUACUUAAAACAGUAGUCAUUACUAGGACAGGCUAGUUCUGUUUAUGAAUCCAAG
rnacentral:lncRNA from 1 species